CAGCAGCGCGGGAAUACGAAGGGUGCAAGCGUUACUCGGAAUUACUGGGCGUAAAGCGUGCGUAGGUGGUGGUUUAAGUCCGUUGUGAAAGCCCUGGGCUCAACCUGGGAAUUGCAGUGGAUACUGGGUCACUAGAGUGUGGUAGAGGAUAGUGGAAUUUCCGGUGUAGCAGUGAAAUGCGUAGAGAUCGGAAGGAACAUCUGUGGCGAAGGCGACUAUCUGGGCCAACACUGACACUGAGGCACGAAAGCGUGGGGAGCAAACAGGAUUAGAUACCCCAGUAGUCCCUGUCUCUUAUACA
rnacentral:rRNA from 1 species